rnacentral:rRNA from 1 species
CCUACGGGUGGCAGCAGUGAGGAAUAUUGGUCAAUGGACGAGAGUCUGAACCAGCCAAGUAGCGUGAAGGAUGACUGCCCUAUGGAUUGUAAACUUCUUUUAUAUGGGAAUAAAAUGUUCCACGUGUGGGAUUUUGUAUGUACCAUAUGAAUAAGGAUCGGCUAACUCCGUGCCAGCAGCCGCGGUAAUACGGAGGGUCCGAGCGUUAUCCGGAUUUAUUGGGUUUAAAGGGAGCGGAGGGAGAUUGUUCAGUCAGUUGUGAAAGUUGUCGGCUCAACCGUAGAAUUGCAGUUGAAACUGGCAGGCUGGAGUACAAUAGAGGUGGGCGGAAUGCGGGGUGUAGCGGUGAAAUGCUUAGAUAUCACGAAGAACUCCGAUUGCGAAGGCAGCUCACUGGACUGCAACUGACACUGAGGCUCGAAAGUGUGGGUAUCAAACAGGAUUAGAUACCCCUGUAGUC